rnacentral:rRNA from 1 species
CUGUUGGUAAGGUAAAGGCUUACCAAGGCUUCGAUCAGUAGCUGGUCUGAGAGGACGGCCAGCCACACUGGGACUGAGACACGGCCCAGACUCCUACGGGAGGCAGCAGUGGGGAAUUUUGGACAAUGGGGGAAACCCUGAUCCAGCCAUGCCGCGUGAGUGAAGAAGGCCUUCGGGUUGUAAAGCUCUUUCAGCCGGAACGAAACGGUUACGGAUAAUACCCGUGACUACUGACGGUACCGGAAGAAGAAGCACCGGCUAACUACGUGCCAGCAGCCGCGGUAAUACGUAGGGUGCGAGCGUUAAUCGGAAUUACUGGGCGUAAAGCGUGCGCAGGUGGUUUUGUAAGUCAGAUGUGAAAGCCCCGGGCUCAACCUGGGAACUGCGUUUGAAACUACAAGACUAGAGUGUGGCAGAGGGGGGUGGAAUUCCGCGUGUAGCAGUGAAAUGCGUAGAGAUGUGGAGGAACACCGAUGGCGAAGGCAGCCCCCUGGGUUAACACUGACACUCAGGCACGAAAGCAUGGGGAGCAAACAGGAUUAGAUACCCUGGUAGUCCAUGCCCUAAACGAUGUCAACUAGUUGUCGGGCCUUUACGGGCUUGGUAACGUAGCUAACGCGUGAAGUUGACCGCCUGGGGAGUACGAUCGCAAGAUUAAAACUCAAAUGAAUUGACGGGGACCCGCACAAGCGGUGGAUUAUGUGGAUUAAUUCGAUGCAACGCGAAAAACCUUACCUACCCUUGACAUGUAUCGAAGCCCGCAGAAAAGCGGGGGUGCCCGAAAGGGAACGAUAACACAGGUGCUGCAUGGCUGUCGUCAGCUCGUGUCGUGAGAUGUUGGGUUAAGUCCCGCAACGAGCGCAACCCUUGUCAUUAAUUGCCAUCAUUUAGUUGGGCACUUUAAUGAGACUGCCGG